GGCUGGCCCAAGUGCAAUGGUGUUUACAACUAAUUGAUCACAACUAGUUGUAGAUUUCUUUGCUCCUUCACUCCCACUGCUUCUCUUGACUAGUCUUAA
rnacentral:Y_RNA from 1 species